rnacentral:lncRNA from 1 species
GCAUUUUCCAGUCCGUGGCACCUUGAUCCCAGGAUGUGCUCCGCACCGUGCUUCUAGGGCAUCAACAUCUGCUGUUGCACAAAGGCCCCUGAAAGGAAAAGCACCCUCGCACGUUUGCACUGCUCCCACACUCCCCAGAACUGUCUCUCAAAUCUCCCGUUAACACAGACUCUCUCAGACUCUUGACUGCAGCCCAAUAGCACAGCAUCCCCUCUCUCACUUCAUGAGCCAAGAGGCCAUAGUUGGUGUCCCUUUUUAAGCUUCACAGACCCAAUCAGGCAAGAACUUCGGUUUGCCCAUCCUGCAGCCAGGAAUGCUCCAACCUGAGGGGGGAGUGGCCGUGAGAGCAACGUCUCUGUGCACGUGCAGCUCGUUCCUCCCCUCUGACAGGGGCAGAAGGAGUGAGGCAACAGACAAAAGCAGAAAGCGUCUGCAUAUCCCUCGUGGCUCUUAUUUCCUGCCUUACGCUGGGAAACGAGCUGAGCCGCUGGGCCUCUCCGUUAUGCUUAGCUCUGCAGCUCGGACAUCAUUACACUCAGCUGUUCCUGGGCAUAAUGCUCCACACAACGACCCUGCAGAGCCCAAAGGCCUGCCUGCCUGCCUGCUGUCACUCACCUGGAGGUUGCAGGGUGCUGUGCCUCCUGGCUGGACCUGCUGCUGCUAGCUGUCACUUGCAAGACACUGAGAGUCCACCUGCUUGGAACUGCAGGCAACAAACACAAACGAGAAAGAAGGAAGAAAGGAUUCUUGGAUUGCACAGGCUUCAUUAAAACACGUUCUGCUGUGGAGCACAGCUGCAAGCAUUUCACCUGGGCAAAAAAGGGGUGGAGCCUGGCUCCAGCCCUCCCCACCCUCAUUUCAGGGCUGCCUGUCUAAGGGGAAGAAUCUCUACUGGGAGAUCUGCUCUGUGCUAAUACUUUCUGAGUCCUGUUCUUCAGAAAGGGCUCUUUGUUUACUAGCUUGAGUCCUUCCCCAUACUUAGAAAAAUUAAAACACAGGAAAGCAGCUGGAUCACCUACUGCCUUUCACUACAGUUACCAUUUCAGAUUAUGGAUCAAGGUUGAACUGUACAGAGGGAGUGCAGCCACAAGGCUCUGGCUGUGCCGGGCCUCCCACCAGCCCGGGCCCCAAAGCAGCCCCAGCUGUGCCUGGUCCUCCUCCAUCCUGUGCCCCAAGUCCUUGGCUGUGCCUGGGCCCCCUUUGGACUGAGCCCCGAGUAGGCCCCAACUGCGCUAGGUCCUCCUCCAGCCUGGGCCCCAAAGCAGCCCCAUCUGAGCCUGGUCCUCUUCGAUACCGGGCCCCAAAGCAGCCCAAAUCGUGCCAGGCCGUCGACCGGCCUGGGCCCCAAAGCAGCCCCAACUGUUGCUGGUCCUUCUCCAUCCUGUGCCCCAAGGCCCUGGCUGGGCUUGAGCCCCCUUUUGUCUGGGCCCAGACGAGGCCUCAACUGUGCCAGGCCGUCCUCCAUCCUGGGCCCCAAAGCAGCCCCAACUGUGCCAGGUCCAUCUCCAUCCUGGGCCCCAAAGCAGCCCCAACUGUUGCUGGUCCAUCUCCAUCCUGGGCCCCAAAGCAGCCCCAACUGUUGCUGGUCCUCCUCUAUCCUAAGCCCCACGGCUAGGGUUGUGCCGGGGCCCCCUGUGCUCUGGGCCAAGAGGAGGCCCCAACUGUGCCAGGCACCCCUCCAGUCCAGGCCCCAAAGCAGCCCCACCUGUGCCAGGCCCAUCUCCAUCCUGGGCCCCAAAGCAGCCCCAACUGUUCCUGGUCCUCCUCCAUCCUAGGCCCCAAGGCCCGAACUGUUCUUGGGCCCCUUUUUGUCUGGGCCCAGAGGAGGCCUCAACUGUGCCAGGCCCCCCUCCAGCCUAGGCACCAAAGCAGCCCCAACUGUGCCUGGUCCUGUUUCAUCCUGGGCCCCAAGGCCCUGGCUGUGCCUGGGCCCUUUUUGGUCUGGGCCAAGAGCAGGCCUCAACUGUGCCUGGUCCUUCUCUAGCCCAGGCCCCAAAGCAGCCCCAACUGUGCUAUGCCCCCCUCCAGCUCAGGCACCAAAGCAGCCCCAACUGUGCCUGGUCCUCCUCCAUCCUGGGCCCCAACACAGCCCCAACUGAGCCUGGUUCUCCUCCAUCCUGGGCCCCGAGGCUCUACCUGUGCCUGGGUCCCCUUCCUUCUGGGCCCACACCAGGCCUCAACUGUGCCAGGCCCCCUCCAGCCUGGGCCCCGAGGCCACCACUGUGCUGCACCACCCUCCGGCACAGGCCCUGCCCCAAGCCCUGCCCCCUGUGGACAGCUCUGCUCUUUGCCUGCUUGUUUUUUUUCCUCUCUUCACUCUGCCAG